UGUGUAUGCACAUGACAAAUGUGUCAACCUGCUUCCAGCUUUUCUUUUCUUUUCAGGAACUUUUCUUCCCCCUGCAUCAAAAUCGGGGUGGCCUAAUUUUCGUAAUUGGCAAUCAGUCUGUGUGCUUUAUGAGCGAAUUAGGACAUAAACGCUCACAUUAUUGUGGACACGGCUUGCCUUCUCGUGGGCCCCGAGUGCAACCGAGAAAGGGAGUUGAAAAUGGUUGCAAGCGCCGUUUGCAUGGAAACGUGUCUUUACAAGCGUGCCUCUACAAAGCCCGAUAGUGGGGGCAACAACACCGAGAAGAAACUGUUGGCAAGCCAGUUUGUUCAAAUCAUUGUAUAUCUAGUGGUUUUAGAGUAUGUAAGAAUAAACGGAUAAAUCAUUACAAACGUGGAUUUGCCAACAGUAUUAUUACUUUGCGAAAGAUAUGUCCUCCAGACAUCAGGACUGUCACACUAAUUUGCAAGCAUUUAUUCCCUGGGCUACCAGACUUUCCUGUGGAAUAAGUGGAGAUUCAAGAGGAAAGCAGCCGAGGAAUGCCCAUGAUGAUAGAAGAGGUGGGCGCGUACACCAUAGGCCUGAUGAACACACAAUCAACACUCCAGAAAAUGUCAAAAGCCCAUUUUCUGUUCUAUCCAUAAUCCAAGUAGAAAACUUUUGGACACAAUGGUCUAAACGUGAAGAGCAGGAGGGAGGAUACAAUGGUCUAAACGUGGAGAGCAGGAGGGAGGACACAAUGGUCUAAACGUGGAGAGCAGGAGGGAGGAUACAAUGGUCUAAACGUGGAGAGCAGGAGGGAGGACAUAAUGGUCUAAACGUGGAGAGCAGGAGGGAGGAUA